rnacentral:lncRNA from 1 species
AAUCACUGUGGCCUGGAGGAUGGGACACCAUGAUUUGCAAGACUCUGGUCACAUGCCCACACCUGUGGCUUCUGAAGCAGAGCACCAGCAGUGACAGUCCCACCAGAACCGCAUGGAAUAGAAAACUGUGCAUUUCCCUAAGGAAAGGGAAUGCCAGAGAAGGGCAGAAGGGAAAUCAGGAAGACAAAACGGUAAAUUACCUACCACAAAUCCAAUUCAUUGGUAUUUUUCCACUUACACUUAACCAAGCAACGAUUUCUCCUGGUCCCAUAAUGGAAAAGAGGGUUUAUCUAGAUUCAUAUAUACAAGACUGAAGAGUGAAGAGAGACCCAGAGAAUGUUCUAAAAUCUGCCAGUUAGCAUAAUCACACAGAGAAAUCUCUGCUUCCAGAGGAGGAGCCAAGUUCAAGUCAGAGUGUCUUCAUGUUGGAGUGGACCUUUCCUCUAUCUGUCAACAGAAUGGAUAAAUUGUGGAAGAGUAAUAUCAGAAUACUACACAUCAGUAAAAAACAACAAACUUCUGCUACAAACAAUCAACAUCGAUGAAUCUUUCAGGCAAAAGGGCAAAGAAAAGUAUUGGUCUUCCAAAACAAAUAGAGGACGGAGCUG